rnacentral:tRNA from 1 species
GGGGUUGUGGCUCAGCAGUAGAGCACUUGCCUAGCAUGUGGGAGGGCCUGAGUUUGAUCCUCAGCACCCACA